GACGAACGCUGGCGGCGCGCUUAACACAUGCAAGUCGAACGGAAAGGCCUGCUUUCCCUUGUGGAUUGCGGGUACUCGAGUGGCGAACGGGUGAGUAACACGUGAGUGAUCUGCCCCCAACUUGGGUAUAAGCCUGGGAAACUGGGUCUAAUUCCCGAUAGGACUGCAGGGUGGUGCCUGUGGUGGAAAACGAUUUUCUAGUGGUUGGGGAUGAGCUCGCGGCCUAUCAGCCUGUUGGUGGGGUAAUGGCCUACCAAGGCGGCGACGGGUAGCCGGCCUGAGAGGGUGGACGGCCACAUUGGGACUGAGAUACGGCCCAGACUCCUACGGGAGGCAGCAGUGGGGAAUAUUGCACAAUGGGCGGAAGCCUGAUGCAGCGACGCCGCGUGGGGGAUGACGGCCUUCGGGUUGUAAACUCCUUUCGACCGCGAGGAAGCCACCUGGUUGGAAGGGUGGUGACGGUAGUGGUAGAAGAAGCACCGGCUAACUACGUG
rnacentral:rRNA from 1 species